rnacentral:rRNA from 1 species
CAAUAGCGUAUAUUAAAGUUGUUGCAGUUAAAAAGCUCGUAGUUGGAUUUCUGGUGGGAGCGAUCGGUCUGGCGCUUAGCGCGAGUACUUGCAUCGUCUCCGGCCAUCCUUGGGGAGAGUCUGUCUGGCAUUAGGUUGUCGGGCAGAGGAUCCUCAUCGUUUACUGUGAAAAAAUUAGAGUGUUCAAAGCAGGCUUAUGCCGUUGAAUAUAUUAGCAUGGAAUAAUAAGAUAGAACUUUGGUACUAUUUUGUUGGUUUGCGCACCAAAGUAAUGAUUAAUAGGGACAGUUGGGGGUAUUCGUAUUCCGUUGUCAGAGGUGAAAUUCUUGGAUUUACGGAAGACGAACUACUGCGAAAGCAUUUACCAAGGAUGUUUUCAUUAA